rnacentral:rRNA from 1 species
GGACGAACGCUGGCGGCGUGCCUAAUACAUGCAAGUCGAGCGGACAGAAGGGAGCUUGCUCCCGGAUGUUAGCGGCGGACGGGUGAGUAACACGUGGGUAACCUGCCUGUAAGACUGGGAUAACUCCGGGAAACCGGAGCUAAUACCGGAUAGUUCCUUGAACCGCAUGGUUCAAGGAUGAAAGACGGUUUCGGCUGUCACUUACAGAUGGACCCGCGGCGCAUUAGCUAGUUGGUGAGGUAACGGCUCACCAAGGCSACGAUGCGUAGCCGACCUGAGAGGGUGAUCGGCCACACUGGGACUGAGACACGGCCCAGACUCCUACGGGAGGCAGCAGUAGGGAAUCUUCCGCAAUGGACGAAAGUCUGACGGAGCAACGCCGCGUGAGUGAUGAAGGUUUUCGGAUCGUAAAGCUCUGUUGUUAGGGAAGAACAAGUGCAAGAGUAACUGCUUGCACCUUGACGGUACCUAACC